rnacentral:rRNA from 1 species
CCUACGGGGUGCUGCAGUGGGGAAUAUUGGACAAUGGGCGAAAGCCUGAUCCAGCCAUGCCGCGUGUGUGAAGAAGGCCUUCGGGUUGUAAAGCACUUUCAGUGGGGAAGAAAGCCUUGGGGCUAAUACCCUCGAGGAAGGACAUCACCCACAGAAGAAGCACCGGCUAACUCCGUGCCAGCAGCCGCGGUAAUACGGAGGGUGCGAGCGUUAAUCGGAAUUACUGGGCGUAAAGCGCGCGUAGGCGGUCUGAUAAGCCGGUUGUGAAAGCCCCGGGCUCAACCUGGGAACGGCAUCCGGAACUGUCAGGCUAGAGUGCAGGAGAGGAAGGUAGAAUUCCCGGUGUAGCAGUGAAAUGCGUAGAGAUCGGGAGGAAUACCAGUGGCGAAGGCGGCCUUCUGGACUGACACUGACGCUGAGGUGCGAAAGCGUGGGUAGCAAACAGGAUUAGAUACCCUGGUAGUC